UCAAGAACCUUCCACAAUGGACGAAAGUCUGAUGGAGCGACGCCGCGUGAUUGAUGAAGUCCCUCUGGGACGUAAAGAUCUUUUAUCAGGGAGAAAGUUUAUUGAUAGUACCCGAUGAAUAAGGGGUUGCUAAACUCGUGCCAGCAGCAGCGGUAAUACGAGUGCCCCAAGCGUUAUCCGGAAUUACUGGGCGUAAAGGGUGUGUAGGUGGUUGUAUUAGUCUUCUGUUAAAUUCUUCGGCUUAACCGGGGGCAAGCAGGGGAAACGGCACAACUAGAGGAUACGAAGGGUCUGUGGAACUCAUGGAGUAGGGGUGAAAUCCGUUGAUAUCAUGGGGAACACCAAAAGCGAAGGCAGCAGACUGGCGUAUUCCUGACACUGAAACACGAAAGCGUAGGUAGCGAAUGGGAUUAGAUACCCCCGUAGUCC
rnacentral:rRNA from 1 species